UACGUGCCAGCAGCCGCGGUAACACGUAGGGGGCGACGUUAUCCGGAUUCAUUGGGCGUAAAGCGCGCGCAGGCGGCCGCCUAAGCGGGACCUCUAUCCCGGGGCUCAACCCCGGGCCGGGUCCCGAACUGGGCGGCUCGGGUGCGGUAGGGGUAGCGGAAUUCCCGGUGUAGCGGUGGAAUGCGCAGAUAUCGGGAGGAACACCGACGGCGAAGGAGCCUACUGGGCCGUCACCGACGCUGAGGCGCGAAAGCCGGGGGAGCGAACAGGAUUAGAACCCUGGUAGUCCCGGCCGUAAACGAUGCUAGCUAGGUGUGGGGGGACACGCCCCCCGUGCGCAGCCAACGCAUUAAGCUAGCCGCCUGGGGAGUACGGCCGCAAGGCUAAAACUCAAAGAAUUGACGGGGGCCCGCACAAGCAGCGGAGCAUGUGGCUUAAUUCGAAGCAACGCGAAGACCUUACCAGGGCUUGACAUGACGGUGAAGCGGCGGAAACGCCGUGGCCGAGAGGAGCCGCACAGGUGGUGCAUGGCUGUCGUCAGCUCGUGUCGUGAGAUGUUGGGUUAAGUCCCGCAACAGCGCAACCCCUGCCGCGUGUUGCCAGCAUUCAGUUGGGGACUCGCGCGGGACUGCCGGCCCAAGCCGGAGGAAGGCGGGGACGACGUCAAGUCAUCAUGCCCCUCAUGCCCUGGGCUGCCACGUGCUACAAUGGCCGGCACAAUGGGCUGCCACCCCGCGAGGGGGAGCGAAUCCCGCAAGCCGGCCCCAGUUCGGACCGGAGGCUGCAACCCGCCUCCGCGAAGCCGGAGUUGCUAGUAUCGCGGAUCAGCACGCCGCGGUGAAUGCGUUCCCGGGCCUUGCACACACCGCCCGUAA
rnacentral:rRNA from 1 species